UACGGAGGAUCCUAGUGUUAUCCGGAUUUAUUGGGUUUAAAGGGAGCGUAGGCGGGAGGUCAAGUCAGCUGUGAAAUGUAUCUGCUUAACGGGUACACUGCAGUUGAAACUGGUUUUCUUGAGUGCGUAAGAGGCAGGCGGAAUUCGUUGUGUAGCGGUGAAAUGCUUAGAUAUGACGAGGAACUCCUAUUGCGAAGGCAGCUUACUGGGAUGCAACUGACGCUGAGGCACGAAAGCGUGGGUAUCAAACAGGAUUAGAUA
rnacentral:rRNA from 1 species